CAGGGCUCGGGCCAUUGCCCACUGCUUGGCCUUUUACGGUUCGCCUUGGCAUCUGUAGGCGUGUCACUUAGCCCGUGUACUACAGCGCGUGUAUAAUGAGGCCCAAGAUGCACUGGAAGUCGAGUCUUCUGCCGUCUCGGACGUAAUCAGUUCUAACCGCUUAUUGCCCUGUCGACAGUGGCGGUGUCAUUCUUUAAAAGGCUGUGCCCUGCCCCUCCCCUCCUAGUCCAGCUCUGGUACAGAUUCUGCAUAAACAGUGGGUGUCCCCAUGUGACUGGUUUGUCCGUCCUUCCCUCCCCCAGGGCCUCAGCAGCAGCCUGGCGCACUACAGCCCACCAGAGCCGGACCAGCCUGGGAAGGAAGAGCGACUCCCCCCCAGGGAAGCCUGCAAGGGCUAAAGGAAGAAGCAUAUACUUCUUUCCAACCUCCCAAGCAACAGUUCAGCUCACCAGUGGACCAGACCUCCAAUCCACAUCGCUAAUCAACUGCCCCUGAUUCUUGAAGUUCAAUUGGUCAGAUCCCACAGAGAGCAUCAAUCAUGAUGAGAUUCAGCUUCCUGCAUUGGAGGAAUUCAAAAGCCUCCAAAUACAGUGGUUUAAAUAAGAUAGAGCUUUAUUUAGCUCUCGGUCCAGUGACAUCUAGAGGUGGGCAAUCCAGGGCUGGUUUGGUAAUGCCACGAUGUCA
rnacentral:lncRNA from 1 species